rnacentral:rRNA from 1 species
AGCGAACGCUGGCGACAGGCCUAAUACAUGCAAGUCGAGCGGGUCCUUCGGGAUUAGCGGCGGACGGGUGAGUAACGCGUGGGAACGUGCCCUUUGGUACGGGAACAACUGAGGGAAACUUCAGCUAAUACCGUAUGUGCCCUUCGGGGAAAGAUUUAUCGCCAUUGGAGCGGCCCGCGUUGGAUUAGGUAGUUGGCGAGGUAAAGGCUCACCAAGCCUACGAUCCAUAGCUGGUCUGAGAGGAUGACCAGCCACACUGGGACUGAGACACGGCCCAGACUCCUACGGGAGGCAGCAGUAGGGAAUCUUGCGCAAUGGGCGAAAGCCUGACGCAGCCAUGCCGCGUGAAUGAUGAAGGUCUUAGGAUUGUAAAAUUCUUUCUACCGGGGACGGAUAAUGACGGUACCCGGAGAAGAAGCCCCGGCUAACUUCGUGCCAGCAGCCGCGGU